rnacentral:rRNA from 1 species
AUACGUAGGUCACAAACGUUGUCCGGAUUUAUUGGGCGUAAAGGGUCCGUAGGCGGUUCGGUAAGUCUCCUGCGAAAUCUUCAGGCUCAACUUGAAGAGGUCGGGGGAUACUGCCGGACUUGAGACUGUUAGAGGCAAGUGGAAUUCCCGGUGUAGUGGUGAAAUGCGUAGAUAUCGGGAGGAGCACCAGUGGCGAAAGCGGCUUGCUGGGACAGUUCUGACGCUGAGGGACGAAAGCGUGGGUAGCAAACCGGAUUAGAAACCCCGGUAGUCC